UACGUAGGGCGCAAGCGUUAUCCGGAAUUAUUGGGCGUAAAGAGCUCGUAGGCGGUUUGUCGCGUCUGCCGUGAAAGUCCGGGGCUCAACUCCGGAUCUGCGGUGGGUACGGCAGACUAGAGUGAUGUAGGGGAGACUGGAAUUCCUGGUGUAGCGGUGAAAUGCGCAGAUAUCAGGAGGAACACCGAUGGCGAAGGCAGGU
rnacentral:rRNA from 1 species